GUUUGUGCUAUACGUUUAUUUCGAAGACUAAACCAUGCUAUGUCAAGUUUAACUGGGAUUUUACAAGAGGAAAACGGCGAAAAGGCUCCAUAAAUCAGUUUUAAAGUAGAGAGGAAUGGUGGGGAUUUAUCCUACGAGAAUGAAAUGGAUAACUAUGGUAAUUCUAUAGCUAAUACAUGAGAGAAAGAGAGCAGAGUGAAAUCUGUUUUCGCAUAUAUUAGAUUGAAGUAUCGUUUGUUCGUGAAUGAGAAUAUAGAAUAGAAUUAGUUGGCAGACGGCAAAGCAAUUUGUCGCAACCUCUUUCUGAAUCUGAACUAUCAGAUUAAGUAGUUUAGGUAUUGGCUAAACUAGUCGAUGACGGUUACGAGAGAUUAGAGUUUGAUUUCGGAGAAAAGGCUUUAGAAACGGCCAUUAUUCCCAAGGGAAGCAGCAGGUGC
rnacentral:rRNA from 1 species